rnacentral:rRNA from 1 species
UUGUAAUUUGUAGAGGGUGCUUUGGCGUUGGCUGUGGUCUAAGUUCCUUGGAACAGGACGUCACAGAGGGUGAGAAUCCCGUACGUGGCCGCCAGCCUCCGCCGUGUAAAGCCCCUUCGACGAGUCGAGUUGUUUGGGAAUGCAGCUCUAAAUGGGAGGUAAAUUUCUUCUAAAGCUAAAUAUUGGCCAGAGACCGAUAGCGCACAAGUAGAGUGAUCGAAAGAUGAAAAAGCACUUUGGAAAGAGAGUCAAAAAGCACGUGAAAUUGUUGAAAGGGAAGCGCUUGCAGCCAGACUUGCCCGCAGUGGCUCACCCGGGCCUCGCGCCCGGCGCACUCCUCUGCGGGCAGGCCAGCAUCAGUCCGGGCGGUCAGACAAAAGCCUGCUAAAUGUACCUCCCCUCGGGGAGGACUUAUAGGGCAGGUGGCAUGUGACCAGCCUGGAUUGAGGUCCGCGCUUCGGCUAGGAUGCUGGCGUAAUGGCUGUAAGCGGCCCGUCUUGAAACACGGACCAAGGAGUCUAACAUCUAUGCGAGUGUUUGGGUGUCAAGCCCGAGCGCGUAAUGAAAGUGAACGGAGGUGGGAACCCCUCGGGGCGCACCAUCGACCGAUCCUGAUGUCUUCGGAUGGAUUUGAGUAGGAGCAUAGCUGUUGGGACCCGAAAGAUGGUGAACUAUGCCUGAAUAGGGUGAAGCCAGAGGAAACUCUGGUGGAGGCUCGCAGCGGUUCUGACGUGCAAAUCGAUCGUCAAAUUUGGCAUAGGGCGAAAGACUAAUCGA